GUAAGGCAACGGUUUUUGGUACCGUCAUGCGCUGGUUCGAAUCCAGCUACCCCAG
rfam:Lactobacillus equi DPC 6820 NODE_112, whole genome shotgun sequence.